GGGGAUUUAGCUCAGUGGUGUCAGCGCCUGCCUUGCAAGCGCAAGGUUCAAUUCAAUCCCCA
rnacentral:tRNA from 1 species